AACGCGAAGAACCUUACCUACCCUUGACAUCCUAAGAAGAUUGCAGAGAUGCGAUUGUGCCGAAAGGAACUUAGAGACAGGUGCUGCAUGGCUGUCGUCAGCGCGUGUUGUGAGAUGUUGGGUUAAGUCCCGUAACGAGCGCAACCCUUAUCCUUAGUUGCCAACACGUAAUGGUGGGGACUCUAAGGAGACUGCUGGUGAUGAACCGGAGGAAGGCGGGGACGACGUCAAGUCAUCAUGGCCUUUAUGGGUAGGGCUACACACGUGCUACAAUGGGGCGUACAGAAGGAAGCAAACCAGCGAUGGGGAGCGGACCCGACAAAGCGCCUCGUAGUCCGGAUUGGAGUCUGCAACUCGACUCCAUGAAGUUGGAAUCGCUAGUAAUCGCGAAUCAGAAUGUCGCGGUGAAUACGUUCCCGGGCCUUGUACACACCGCGCAUA
rnacentral:rRNA from 1 species